rnacentral:rRNA from 1 species
UUGGAGGGCAAGGCUGGUGCCAGCAGCCGCGGUAAUUCCAGCUCCAAUAGCGUAUAUUAAAGUUGUUGCAGUUAAAAAGCUCGUAGUUGAAUUUCGGGAUCAGUGUUUCGGUCAUGCCCUUGGUAUGUACUGAUAUUAUUGGUUUCUCACCUUCUAAAGAACCGUAAUGCCAUUAAUUUGGUGUCACGGGGAAUUAGGACUGUUACCUUGAAAAAAUUAGAGUGUUAAAGCAGGC